rnacentral:rRNA from 1 species
AGCGGGAAAAGCUCAAAUUUGUAAUCUGGCGUCUACGACGUCCGAGUUGUAAUCUCGAGAAGUGUUUUCCGUGAUAGACCGCAUACAAGUCUCUUGGAACAGAGCGUCAUAGUGGUGAGAACCCAGUACACGAUGCGGAUGCCUAUUACUUUGUGAUACACUUUCGAAGAGUCGAGUUGUUUGGGAAUGCAGCUCAAAUUGGGUGGUAAAUUCCAUCUAAAGCUAAAUAUUGGCGAGAGACCGAUAGCGAACAAGUACCGUGAGGGAAAGAUGAAAAGCACUUUGGAAAGAGAGUUAACAGUACGUGAAAUUGUUGGAAGGGAAACACAUGCAGCCAGACUUGCUAUUCGGGGCAACUCGAUUGGCAGGCCCGCAUCAGUUUUUCGGGGCGGAAAAUCAUAGAGAGAAGGUAGCAAUUUCGGUUGUGUUAUAGCUCUUUAUUGGAUUCGCCCUGGGGGACUGAGGAACGCAGCGUGCUUUUAGCAUAAGCUUCGGCUUAUCCACGCUUAGGAUGCGGGUGUAAUGGCUGUAUAUGACCCGUCUUGAAACACGGACC